CCCGCAGACCUGUCACAUCAGCCACCGAGGCCCGAUCCCUGUUGCCUCCUUUUCCAGAUGCCAUGGGGUUUGAAGAACUCGCGGGGCUGGCCCUGAGCCCAGGUCUGACUGCUCUCCGCCUCCCUGUCCCGCACCCCAAUUUCUGCGCAGCCAUGACAGACAGUGCCGACGGGGCCAGGUCCUGUGUCAGGCCCACACCAGCCCAGGGGUGGAACUGACCCCCAAGCUCCCUGGUUUCUCUGCAGCCAGCAAGGACCCUUUGCAGUGGAAAGUGCUGGAGUGUUGUCACCCCCAAGGCAACCCUCAACCCUGGGUCAAGAGUUCCUGGAUAAACACCCAGCCCCCCACCAUCUGCCGGCUGUCCUCAGGCGCAUGACAUAUGAUUUCAUAUGGUCCCUGGGGGGACUGAGCCCUGGGUUCCCACAGAGGUGACCAGCUCCAUCCCCCAACCUGCAGUGGCCCCAGCCAGCCUCUCCCCAGGAGACCCCCUGGGAACAUCUCCCAGAAAAACCGCCUGUGCCCAGCUCCUGGCCCUGACUCUGCUCUUUAGGGCGCAGGAUGGGCCCCGCGGCCAUCUGGACAAGGGUGUAAGAAGAGACUGCACACCAGCUCGGGAGUCUUUAGAACCCACCUCUGUCACAGCCUGGGCUGUGAACCCAGGGGACUGGGCCCCAGCACCCCGCACCGGCCUCGGCACACAGGAACGACUCAGCACGCACCGAGGAAGGGACAUCAACGAGCUGAGAAAUGUCGCUGUGCUGAGCUGCGCUCAUAACCAGUGGAUUCCUGGUGUAUUAUUAUUUGUUGAUUGUUGAUGUAAUUUUUCUUGAUUUGCUGAUUAUUAUUUGUUGAUUCUGGGUUUGCACAGCCACAAAUAUUCAGAUAUCUCAAACCCCACUCCCUGCUGCUUCUUGCUAAUUCAAGCAAAACCAAAAUGCUGAGCCUGUGUGCACACGGUGCCUCCCUGGCACCAUGUGAGCCGAUAAUGGAUGGAAGAGGCCCUGCCCCCACCUGCUCUGGGCAAACAAACAGAACAAUUAGCCAGAAAGAGUUCGCCAGGCGGGAGGGUCAGCUGCGGCAGCCAUGUCCGUUCUGACUAGCUCCCAGAACAUUCCACAGCCGAGGCACCAUGAUUAGGGGGCCCCCUCCAUGCAGGCGCCACUGCGGCUGCAGGGACCGAGGCCGCGGGGACCGAGGCCACAGGGACAGGCACUAAUGGCAGCCACAGGCCACUCCCCUUGACCCCUCUCCAGCGACUCAGCCCCCGGGAUUAGCCCCCAAGAUGCUGCCUGGGCUGUCUCAACAAACAGUGAAAAGGUAAUGCAAAACAGGAACACCAAGAGCUGUCCCCGCACAGGCUCAGGGCUGCUCAAAGCUGGCCAGGCUGCUGUCACGCAGGGAGGUGUGGGAUGCCUGGCAGUGGCCCGCUGCUCCCCUAGGAUGGCAGUGGUGGCUGUGUGGCAACACAUAUAGCUUGUGUGCAAAGCCCUGCUUCUCAGCACACCGAUUCCUGCAGGUAGGACUUGCCUCGAUUGUCGUCCCCAAGCAUGGCCUGGUCCACACCGCACGGCUGGACCCAAGCACCUGGCUCUGGGGAGAAGCAGCUGAAGGGGCUGGGAACGCAGCGCCAAUCUCUGCUGCAGGAGA
rnacentral:lncRNA from 1 species